GAUGAACGCUAGCGGCAGGCUUAACACAUGCAAGUCGAGGGGUAACAGGGUGCUUGCACCGCUGACGACCGGCGCACGGGUGCGUAACGCGUAUACAAUCUACCUUAUAGAGGGGGAUAGCCCAGAGAAAUUUGGAUUAAUACCCCAUAGUACUUAGAUUCAGCAUUGGAUUUAGGUUAAACAUUUAUGGCUAUAAGAUGAGUAUGCGUCCUAUUAGUUAGUUGGUAAGGUAACGGCUUACCAAGACCGCGAUAGGUAGGGGUCCUGAGAGGGAGAUCCCCCACACUGGGACUGAGACACGGACCAGACUCCUACGGGAGGCAGCAGUGAGGAAUAUUGGACAAUGGGCGAGAGCCUGAUCCAGCCAUGCCGCGUGCAGGAAGACGGCCCUAUGGGUUGUAAACUGCUUUUAUACGGGAAGAAACACCUCUUCGUGAAGGGGCUUGACGGUACCGUAAGAAUAAGGAUCGGCUAACUCCGUGCCAGCCGCCGCCGUAA
rnacentral:rRNA from 1 species